AAGAUUUUAAGUUAUACAAACUAUAAACCUUCAAAGUUUAAAAAUUAUAAGUCUUGGAUCAAACUCAUC
rnacentral:tRNA from 1 species